UACGUAGGGUGCGAGCGUUAAUCGGAAUUACUGGGCGUAAAGCGUGCGCAGGCGGUCUGUUAAGACCGAUGUGAAAUCCCCCGGGCUUAACCUGGGAACUGCAUUGGUGACUGGCAGGCUUUGAGUGUGGCAGAGGGGGGUAGAAUUCCACGUGUAGCAGUGAAAUGCGUAGAGAUGUGGAGGAAUACCGAUGGCGAAGGCAGCCCCCCUGGGCCAACACUGACGCUCAUGCACGAAAGCGUGGGGAGCAAACAGG
rnacentral:rRNA from 1 species